CUGACAUUCAACACUGAAGAAAUCAAAGACAAUGUUUGCACCAGUUUUUGGGUCAUGGAGACUUCUGACUUAUGUGCAGUCUGAUUCAGUCCAUUACUGCUUUCAUAUAUUGCCUUGCUCCGUAUGUGAGCUGCCUGUGGCAUAGCAACUUUGCUGGGUUUGUCCCAGAAAUGGUACAGCUGAAAAUCUUGAAUCUUAUUUUUUGGAGUAAAGCACAGUCACAUUCCGUGCCCUACAGCACAGUCACGUUUCAU